ensembl:lncRNA novel transcript
AAUUGAUUCACAACCUGAGAGUGUCACAAUCCCCAUGUUGGAGAUCACUGCUCUACCCUGCAGCUUCAGGAGAGGGGAGGCCAGAAGGCAGAAUGAGAAAUGGGGUCGGGGGUGUGAGUGCUUAUCUCAUCCACCCAUGACAGCGAGUGGGCCUGCAGGACUCUGGAAAUUGCAUGAGAAUUUCUGCUCCAUCAGCUUCCUGCCUGGUCUCAUGCUCCCAUCUCAAUCCUCUCACCCACCCUCCUCCCAGCAGAAGGACACACGGAUUUUCCUGAAUCACAAUCUGAUCACUUCUAUCCCCUGCUUAAGACCUGUCUGUAGCUUGAGUACACUGAGAAGAACAGUUCUCACCAAGGCUCAUAAGGGGAGGUGGACAGGGGAAGCGAUGGGGAUGGUGGGAGCUUCCCUGGCCUUCCUGGACACCCCAUCCUCUCAGCACCUCCACAUGUUCAGCAACUGGGAAGUUCAACUCUAGUUUUUCAAGAGUUUUUAUAAAGUUUGGUCCUUAUCUCCUCGCCAUUGCCACUUUUCUUGGAAGUUGGUGGGUGAUACUGAAAGUUUCUACCCUCUAAUCCUCAAAUCUUUUGGUCUUUGUGAUGACUGGCAUGAUACUGAGGCUACCUGGGGACCCUUCCCUAAUUCACAUUUUUUUUUUUUGAGAGGGAGUCUCACUCUGUCACCCAGGCUGAAGUGCAGUGGCAUGAUCUCAGCUCACUGCAACCUCCGCCUCCCAGGUUCAAGCAAUUCUUCUGCUUCAGCCUCCCGAGUAGCUGGGAUUACAAGCGCCCACCAGCAUGCCCAGCUAAUUUUUGUAUUUUUCGUAGAGACGGGGUUUCGUCAUGUUGGCCAGGCUGUUCUCAAACUCCUGACCUCAGAUGAUCCACCCGCCUCGGCCUCCCAAAGUGUUGGGAUUACAGGUGUGAGCCACCGCACCUGGCCCCUAAAUCACAUUUUUAGCAUGAACUCAGCUGGUGUGAUCUGAAAGAGUCUCAUCUGGAAGAACAAAAGACAUUCCUAUCACUCAGGAAAUUCCAAGUUUAGCUUCAUGGUAGGAACAAGAGUCAAAGAACAAACAUUUUCAUGUUAUAGCACACCCAGUAAGCCAUGGGUUCAUCAGAUUGGACUCUCUUUGCUCUGCCAAAUUGGCAGCAUUUGUGAGUUACCAAUCCCAAGGGAGGACUCCCACUGCAGGGAGGAUGGCAAAGGUCACCACUGCGCUAACCACCCGGAAUAGGGGUCUGAACACUUCAGCCACCGCAUCUUGGGCUGCACUCUGACUACACUGAGCGUGGUGAACAGAACACCCACAGCCACAGCCAGUUCGACAAAGCAGGUUAAUUACUUACAGACAGGCAGCGAGGGACAGCGGAAGCCUAGGCUGCAUGACUGUUCAUCUCUCUGUACGACAAGAACAUUCAAUUUUUGGAUAUUGUCAGCUUCCCAGCCCUUCCUCAGUCACAUCCAGUGCACAUCUGGGCAUACCAUGUGCUUUCUGUCUUGGCAGCAGAAGGACAUUCAAACUGGUCUCCCGGGGCUCAGGAGCACUGCCCAGGGCAGAUAGAGUCUCCCAUGCCUGCCCCACUUGCACCACAGCUGAGGACUCAGCAGUGAGCUCUGGGUUUUAGAUGUGGUGGACACGCCCUGGGCUAGUGUGGCAGGACACCCCCUCUAGGAGGGAUGGGAAUGAGGCCAGGGCUGUCCUGGGCAGUUUCUCUUUAGCUCAAGGUGUUGCAUUCUCUCGGAGGAAUAGAAACCAAGCUUGGGCACUUUCAGGCAGUUCCUCCUUACUCAGGAUGGUGCAUUCUUAUAUAAUUUGGCUCUGUCUUGCCACACAAAUCUCAUCUCACAUUGUAAUCCCCAUGUGUCAGGGGAAGGAUCUGGUAGGUGAUUGGAUCAUGGGGGCAGUUUUUUCCAUGCUGUUCUCCUGAUAGUGGGGGAGUUCUCAGGAGAUCUGAUGGUUUAAAAGUGUGUAGAAGUUCCCGGCUCGCUCUCUUUCUCUCCUGCCACCAUGGAAGGCGUGCCUUGCUUUUCCUUCACCCUCCAGCAUGAUUGUACAUUUCCUGAGGCCACCUUGGCGUGCAGAACUAUGAGUCAAUUAAACCUCUUUCCUUUAUAAAUUACCCAGUCUCAGGUAGUUUUUUUUAGCAGUGUGAAAAUGGACUAAUACACAUUUCUACUGUAUUCUACAGUGAUUCUGGGAACUGUGGGCAAGAAGAGAGGCGGGAAAGCCAGAGCCAUCCAAUGCUUGUCUUCUGGUGCCCUCCUCCAGGAAGCCAUUCCUGGUGCCCUGGGCGCUGCUCCCAGCCUUGCUCACCCUGGGUCAUCACCGUUUUUGGAGGGGUCUGUGUCCUCCCCAGACUAUAAGACCCAGAAAAGCAGGGCCUGGAGCUAAGUCACAGUCGUGUCCCCAGCAUCCACUGACACAGAGUAAGUGCAUAGUGUGUGCUAAAUGAAUGAAAGAAAAGUGAAAGCAUGAUGAAAGCCCUGUGUUCAGGGUGUGUCUCACUCAACCUGUCUGUCCUGUCAUGGUGACUUGGUGAGAAUUGUUGCCUGAAGGUCUUUAAAGCUCUCUCCCUUCCAGGGCUUCCGCAUGGAGCUGCUUCUCAGCUGUGCCCUAUGGGGUCAGAUGCACUGGGGAAGAACUAAGGCUCUUCUCCACAGCCCACCUUUUGUCCCCUUAGCCCUCCCAACAUAGGACACACCAUGUCCAGGGCUGCAGGAGCCCAGGCUGUCAACAGCAUCAGCAUCCUGCUAGAAGAGGGUAGGGAUGGCUGGUACUCAGAAGAGCCUUCUAGAUUCCUAAGUUUAUUAAUCCUUUCACUGCAACUACUAAGAAAAAUAGGUGUGACAUUAUUACUGGGUUACACACAGUCACACACACACACAAAAAGCGAAAGCAAAAAUUGUCAAGAAUAUGUCAGCUUCCCUCAGGGGAGUGGCUUCUUCAACUUUGAUCCCAAAUGACUUAUUUCAGAGGAAACCUCUCCCCUCUCCUCAGAACAAACACAUUCACACAGGAAGGGAUUAAAUUCCUGCAAAGAAGAAGAAGGAAAACCUUCCACUGGUCCUUUGGUCUUAACUAUCCUGGGCCAUAAUGUAUUUGAGAGUCCAGUAAUGACUGUGGAUUUUUUUGCUCAAAAUAUCACAGAUGAUUGCCAAACAUUGUGAAAUGCCAUUGAAUUGCACACUUGAAAACACACACAUACACAUGAAAACUUAAGUAAACGCAUAUACUUAAUUGUGGGGGCUGCAGGGGGGGAGCGGAAAGAAACAUCCAGACAUCUGGUGGUAAAUAUUCUGCUCUGGUUCAGCUAAAAAUAAAGCCCUUUAUCAGUUUGGUCACUGG